rnacentral:rRNA from 1 species
UACGGAGGGUGCGAGCGUUGUCCGGAAUUACUGGGCGUAAAGGGCGCGUAGGUGGUUACUUAAGUCAGAUGUGAAAUCCCUGGGCUUAACCUAGGAAUUGCAUUUGAAACUGAGUAGCUAGAGUAUGGUAGAGGGAAGUGGAAUUUCCGGUGUAGCGGUGAAAUGCGUAGAUAUCGGAAGGAACACCAGUGGCGAAGGCGACUUCCUGGACCAUUACUGACACUGAGGCGCGAAAGCGUGGGGAGCGAACAGG